rnacentral:rRNA from 1 species
AAGUUCCGAGACAGGUGCUGCAUGGCUGUCGUCAGCUCGUGCCGUGAGGUGUGGGUUAAGUCCCGCAACGAGCGCAACCCUAUUGCCAGUUGCUACCAGGUAAUGCUGGGCACUCUGGUGAGACUGCCCGGUUAACGGGGAGGAAGGUGGGGACGACGUCAAGUCAUCAUGGCCCUUACGCCUAGGGCUACACACGUACUACAAUGGCGCAUACAAAGGGCAGCGAUACCGCGAGGUGGAGCCAAUCCCAAAAAGUAGCGUCCCAGUCCGGAUUGCAGUCUGCAACUCGACUGCAUGAAGUUGGAAUCGCUAGUAAUUCGAGAUCAGCAUGCUCGGGUGAAUGCGUUCCCGGGCCUU